rnacentral:SRP_RNA from 1 species
GCUGGGCGUGGUGGCGCAUGCCUGUGGUCCCAGCUACUCAGGAGGCUAAGGCUGGAGGAUUGCUUGAAUCCAGGAGUUCUCGGCUGUAGUGUGCUAUGCCAAUUGGGUGUCUGCACUAAGUUUGGCAUCAAUAUGGUGACCUUCUGGGAGCGGGGGACCACCAGGUUGCCUAAGGAGGGGUGAACCAGCCCAGGUUGGAAACAGCAGGUCAAAACUCCCGUGCUGAUCAGUAGUGGGAUCACGCCUGUGAAUAGCCACUGCACUCUAGCCUGGGCAACAGAGCGAGACCCUGUCUCU